AAGGUGACCAACUUAAUGAGAUGAAAAUCAGUCACAUCGUCAUGCAAAACAAAAUGAAAAAAUGCUAUCUC
ensembl:ncRNA ZC64.12 ncRNA